rnacentral:rRNA from 1 species
CACUCCUACGGGAGGCAGCAGUGGGGAAUUUUGGACAAUGGGCGAAAGCCUGAUCCAGCAAUGCCGCGUGUGUGAAGAAGGCCUUCGGGUUGUAAAGCACUUUUGUCCGGAAAGAAAUCCUUGGCUCUAAUACAGUCGGGGGAUGACGGUACCGGAAGAAUAAGCACCGGCUAACUACGUGCCAGCAGCCGCGGUAAUACGUAGGGUGCGAGCGUUAAUCGGGAUUACUGGGCGUAAAGCGUGCGCAGGCGGUUUGCUAAGACCGAUGUGAAAUCCCCGGGCUCAACCUGGGAACUGCAUUGGUGACUGGCAGGCUAGAGUAUGGCAGAGGGGGGUAGAAUUCCACGUGUAGCAGUGAAAUGCGUAGAGAUGUGGAGGAAUACCGAUGGCGAAGGCAGCCCCCUGGGCCAAUACUGACGCUCAUGCACGAAAGCGUGGGGAGCAAACAGGAUUAGAAACCCUAGUAGUCCCAUG